rnacentral:rRNA from 1 species
GAUGAACGCUAGCUACAGGCUUAACACAUGCAAGUCGAGGGGAAACGCCAUCGAAAGCUUGCUUUUGAUGGGCGUCGACCGGCGCACGGGUGAGUAACGCGUAUCCAACCUGCCCAUCACUUGGGAAUAACCUUGCGAAAGUAAGACUAAUACCCAAUGACAUCCCACGAAGACAUCUGAAUGGGAUUAAAGAUUUAUCGGUGAUGGAUGGGGAUGCGUCUGAUUAGCUUGUUGGCGGGGUAACGGCCCACCAAGGCAACGAUCAGUAGGGGUUCUGAGAGGAAGGUCCCCCACAUUGGAACUGAGACACGGUCCAAACUCCUACGGGAGGGAGCAGUGAGGAAUAGUGGUCAAUGGGCGAGAGCCUGAACCAGCCAAGUAGCGUGCAGGAGGACGGCCCUAUGGGUUGUAAACUGCUUUUAGAAGGGAAUAAAGUGGGUCUCGUGAGACUUUUUGCAUGUACCUUAUGAAUAAGGACCGGCUAAUUCCGUG